AUUGAACGCUGGCGGCAGGCCUAACACAUGCAAGUCGAGCGGAUGAAGGGAGCUUGCUCCUGGAUUCAGCGGCGGACGGGUGAGUAAUGCCUAGGAAUCUGCCUGGUAGUGGGGGAUAACGUCCGGAAACGGGCGCUAAUACCGCAUACGUCCUGAGGGAGAAAGUGGGGGAUCUUCGGACCUCACGCUAUCAGAUGAGCCUAGGUCGGAUUAGCUAGUUGGUGGGGUAAAGGCCUACCAAGGCGACGAUCCGUAACUGGUCUGAGAGGAUGAUCAGUCACACUGGAACUGAGACACGGUCCAGACUCCUACGGGAGGCAGCAGUGGGGAAUAUUGGACAAAGGGCGAAAGCCUGAUCCAGCCAUGCCGCGUGUGUGAAGAAGGUCUUCGGACUGUAAAGCACUUUAAGUUGGGAGGAAGGGCAGUAAGUUAAUACCUUGCUGUUUUGACGUUACCAACAGAAUAAGCACCGGCUAACUUCGUG
rnacentral:rRNA from 1 species